UACGAAGGGGGCUAGCGUUGUUCGGAAUUACUGGGCGUAAAGCGCACGUAGGCGGAUUGUUAAGUCGGGGGUGAAAUCCUGAGGCUCAACCUCAGAACUGCCUUCGAUACUGGCAAUCUCGAGUCCGGAAGAGGUUGGUGGAACAGCUAGUGUAGAGGUGAAAUUCGUAGAUAUUCGGAAGAACACCAGUGGCGAAGGCGGCUCACUGGCCCGGUACUGACGCUGAGGUGCGAAAGCGUGGGGAGCAAACAGG
rnacentral:rRNA from 1 species